UAAAUUAAGCAGUAAAUGAGGGAACGGGGCCAUGAUACUCAAUGACCGGUCGGGUCGUUACAAUUCAAGAACUGGCAAAGAGCCAAAUCUUCAAAAACUUUGGGAAAUGACUCACAUACAUCAGGACAUUGGGUUAAUGAUGCCUCUGCUGAAUUUAAUGAUAAGCUGAUAGAAAUUGUGGAUGAACAAAUUCAAGAAGUGGAAGAGGGUACUGAUAUGGACCCAAUUGUUAAUGCUGCUUUCGUGAAACUUGUUGGAGAAAAGUCAGGAUAUUGCCGCGGUCAAGGAUCGGGAGUCAAGCCAGCUAGUAGGAGAACUAUGCAUGUAACUCAAGAGCAACUGCAAGCACAACAGAGAGAGGUGGAAGAAGAACGCCAUAAAUGAGAGAGUGUAGAGUGCAAACUAAUAGAAGUGGAAAAUCAACUCUAGGAGGAGCGGAAAAAAUGAGAAGUCAUGGAAGCUCGUCUACUGAGUGAUCAAAAAAUAUUAAAACAAGGCAUGAUGGCACUAGUAUCCCAUAUUCAAAGUUCCAAGACUGGACUUCCUGCUGCAAUUUUUGACAUGAUUGCUAAUUUAAAUGAUUCGGAUGAGACAAGUCCUACAAAUCUUAUGGAUGAUACCAUGGAUGAGCAUGCGUAAACACGAACAAUCCUGACAUCCGGUUCAUGUAGUGCACAAGCUGUUGGGAGAAGAUUUAUUUUUGGGUUACUAUUAGAAUAGAACUUAAGGACCUUGGAUAUAUGAUGCUUUUACUCGUUUUGUAAGUAAAAAUAUACUUUUAGGACUA